rnacentral:rRNA from 1 species
CGAACGGGUGAGUAAUGCGUGACCAACCUGCCCCAUGCUCCAGAAUAGCUCUUGGAAACGGGUGGUAAUGCUGGAUGNUCCAACUUGACGCAUGUCUUGUUGGGAAAGUGUUUAGUGGCAUGGGAUGGGGUCGCGUCCUAUCAGCUUGUAGGCGGGGUAAUGGCCCACCUAGGCUUCGACGGGUAGCCGGCCUGAGAGGGCGGACGGCCACAUUGGGACUGAGAUACGGCCCAGACUCCUACGGGAGGCAGCAGCC